rnacentral:rRNA from 1 species
UACGGAGGGUGCGAGCGUUGUCCGGAAUCACUGGGCGUAAAGGGCGCGUAGGCGGCGCGGGUAGUCAACGGUGAAAGCUUGGGGCUCAACCCCGAGUCGGCCGUCGAUACUCCCGUGCUUGAGCACUGUAGAGGCAGGUGGAAUUCCGGGUGUAGCGGUGGAAUGCGUAGAGAUCCGGAAGAACACCGGUGGCGAAGGCGGCCUGCUGGGCAGUAGCUGACGCUGAGGCGCGAAAGCGUGGGGAGCGAACAGG